rnacentral:rRNA from 1 species
UACGGAGGGUGCAAGCGUUGUUCGGAAUUAUUGGGCGUAAAGCGCGCGCAGGCGGCCAUUUAAGUCUGGUGUUUAAUCCCGGGGCUCAACUCCGGGUCGCACUGGAAACUGGAAAACUUGAGUGCAGAAGAGGAAAGUGGAAUUACAUGUGUAGCGGUGAAAUGCGCAGAGAUAUGGAGGAACACCAGUGGCGAAGGCGACUCUCUGGGCUGUAACUGACGCUGAGGCGCGAAAGCGUGGGUAGCAAACAGG